GCGUCGCCGAGUCGCCAUCACUAAUGCGUCACAACCAGUCACUACCAACGUUGAUCUCUUGCCAGUUGGCAGAUGAACAUCGUCUUUUCGGGGGUUAGAUAUGGACCCGUUGAGCUACUAACCCACGGGAUGUGCUGAGGAGAGGUUUGAAGUCUCGACUCAAGAUUCAGCCAGGUUCAGAGGGCCCCAUACAUUGUUUCGACAUUCAAAAUGAGAGUCAUACAAGUGAAACGGAAUUAUUAUGAGGCGUCAACAACCACACCCUACACUAGGAAACAUAAUCAGAUCAUCUCUGCGUUAACAGGGACAACAAUGCCAGCCCGAGCCCAAGCCCUGACCAAGUUUCUGAAUAUGCAGAAUAAGCUCCUCACAUCCAAUGCCUGACGGCCCUGGUGGACAGCAAUGGCCAGUUUUGUGAAACAAUCUGCAGAAAAUGAGAAAGGACGAAGACAAGAGUGCCUCAGGUGGCCAGCAGUGACGGCUUCAACUCUGCAACUCAGCCCCGCAACCAUGCUCUUCUCCAGAGUGAACACCGUCCAGGGAGCCGUCUUGUGGCAUUCUUCUUGCUGUUGUGUGUGUUUGGGAUCAAUAAGAAUCAGAUGAACUUCGUGCCUGCUCUGCUCUUCUAAAACGUAACUUCUGCUUUGACAGGAGAUGGAGAAUCUAUAUGGAACCUUUGUGUAUGUAAAGAACACCAUUACGAGGACCCUCCAGAGCGCCUGGCACGGCACUUGUCGCUUUCUCACUCAUCCAGUGAGAUACUUUCUUCCAUCAAAUGCACACCCAUUUGUUGGCGUCCAAGGAGGGCCCAAUUGGAAAAAAGUGGUCAAACUUCCCGGCACCACCAUUCCCUUCACCCCUACGAGGGCUGACGCUGAUGUUGCCUUUCACAUUGCUUAGUGGCCAUCGCUCAGGGCGAAUACCAUUUGGUGCCAUGAGCCAGGCUCAUUCCAAAAUUUCUUAAACUAUAAUGUUAUUUCAGCAAAGAAAAUAAUUACAAUUUUUAGAGGUGUUUUCAAAUUUUGACUGGUAUACAAUAUAAAUUGGCUGUUCUACUUCUAAUCAAAUGUUAAGCUUUUUAAAUUUUACAACAUUUUGAAUAAUAAAAAACCUCUACAUUAGUCUUAUUGUCUUUAUUUGCACAAGUCAACACUUAAUAAGCACCUGCGGCACUCAAAUUUGGAAUUUUAUUACUUUUGAGUGGGCCCUGAAGUCUGAAGUCAACGUUUUUGCAAAUAAUACUAGCAAUAAUUUCAAACCAUUCAGUUAAACAAAAUUCAUACUUACAGCUCUGAUGAUUGGAACUUAGAGGUUGAUUUACCAUCGGCAAACAGACAUCUAAAGAAAAUUCUACAAAAAACCAUCAAUCGAGACUCAAUAGUUAUAGGAUACAAAUCCAUUGGUACAUCUUUUCUCUAUCAUCGUUGAGACGACUGGACCAGCCUACUGGACAAUCCGCUCAAGCGUUCCAAUGUGGAACUGCUGCCCUCAGUGAGCGGCCGGGGUCCGGCACAUCAUAUGUCAACGGAUGCCGAGAUGCAGCAGCUCCAAAUAAAUCAGCAACGUUAUACAUGUUGGAUCGCCCCAGUGGGUACCUUUCAAUUGUCUUCUUUGGCGCAGGUCACACCAGCAGAAGUGUUGUACCUUUUACAAUCAGCGGAGCGGCAUCAUUACGGAUGGAAGUUGCCAACUGCAAUGACCGAAGGAUACUACUGCAGAACUACUCGUCAAAUGCAAACAAUAAGGCAAAAUUGCGCUUCACUCAACAACCAAAUGCGAAUUUCCUUCUUGCAAGAGAAGGCCAAAAUCAAUUAAAUUUUUAAAUUAAAACUUGUGUAUUUGUUGAGCGAUGCGCAAUUUUGCCACUACCACGACUGAAAUAGCUGUAGUAUCCAAGACGAUUAUCGUAUCCUGUGUCUUAAUCCUCAGGCUGUCAACUCAGUAGUUGCAACAAUUCCCAUCAUUUAAAGUGAAUACAGGGUGACAGUUAAAAAUUAUUUUUUGAAUUGUUGGAUGCGAUAGCAUUACUGUUGAUUGAUAAACAGUUUUACAAUAAUAAAAAAGGACGUUGCUACAGUAAAAAUUCAAAAUUUUCUAUGUAUUUUUCUCCAAUAUUUUCAGUGCUCGGUGUAGAGAUCUUCCAAAAGCGUAUGAAAACUAUCUCUUCUGGAAUAAAAUAGGAUUUCAAAUAAAGUAUUCAGU